GAUGAACGCUGGCGGCGUGCCUAAUACAUGCAAGUCGAGCGAACUGAUUAGAAGCUUGCUUCUAUGACGUUAGCGGCGGACGGGUGAGUAACACGUGGGCAACCUGCCUGUAAGACUGGGAUAACUUCGGGAAACCGAAGCUAAUACCGGAUAGGAUCUUCUCCUUCAUGGGAGAUGAUUGAAAGAUGGUUUCGGCUAUCACUAACAGAUGGGCCCGCGGUGCAUUAGCUAGUUGGUGAGGUAACGGCUCACCAAGGCAACGAUGCAUAGCCGACCUGAGAGGGUGAUCGGACACACUGGGACUGAGACACGGCCCAGACUCCUACGGGAGGCAGCAGUAGGGAAUCUUCCGCAAUGGACGAAAGUCUGACGGAGCAACGCCGCGUGAGUGAUGAAGGCUUUCGGGUCGUAAAACUCUGUUGUUAGCGAAGAACAAGUACGAGAGUAACUGCUCGUACCUUGACGGUACCUAACCAGAAAGCCACGGCUAACUACGUGCCAGCAGCCGCGGUAAUAC
rnacentral:rRNA from 1 species